UGGGGAAUUUUGGACAAUGGGCGAAAGCCUGAUCCAGCAAUGCCGCGUGUGUGAAGAAGGCCUUCGGGUUGUAAAGCACUUUUGUCCGGAAAGAAAUCCUUGGCUCUAAUACAGUCGGGGGAUGACGGUACCGGAAGAAUAAGCACCGGCUAACUACGUGCCAGCAGCCGCGGUAAUACGUAGGGUGCAAGCGUUAAUCGGAAUUACUGGGCGUAAAGCGUGCGCAGGCGGUUUGCUAAGACCGAUGUGAAAUCCCCGGGCUCAACCUGGGAACUGCAUUGGUGACUGGCAGGCUAGAGUAUGGCAGAGGGGGGUAGAAUUCCACGUGUAGCAGUGAAAUGCGUAGAGAUGUGGAGGAAUACCGAUGGCGAAGGCAGCCCCCUGGGCCAAAUACUGACGCUCAUGCACGAAAAGCGUGGGGAGCAAAACAGGAUUAGAUACCCUGGUAGUCCACGCCCUAAAACGAUGUCAACUAGUUGUUGGGGAUUCAUUUCCUUAGUAACGUAGCUAACGCGUGAAGUUGACCGCCUGGGAAGUACGGUCGCAAGAUUAAAACUUAAAGGAAUUGACGGGGUCAUAGCUGUUUCCU
rnacentral:rRNA from 1 species